AUGUUUCAAAUAUGUUUUUCUUUUUUAUUAUUAUUAUUAAACAUGCUUAAAUGUCCACAUAUUGCAGCAAAUAAAAAAAACACACAGCAAAAGAAUAAGAUAAAUCAAACAUCGUAUGUCAAAAAAAGUGGUGCAAAGAAGAUUCAAAUUGAUGGUUAUAUGAGAAAGUUGGGCAGAGUUAAAUAA